rnacentral:lncRNA from 1 species
GGCCGUGCUUACAACGCAGGAAGAACCACAAGGCUGCAGGGCUCUUUUCUAAGGGUGCCUUCAGGGGAACAUGAACUCAAAUUAUUAAGGCCUGGUAACACAAUGGAAGUGUCUAUGGCAACCACAAACACUGCAGGGGAACCAGAAGCUUUCAAGUAUCUGAAGACAAGCGACAGUGAUGAGAGGAUGGAGGGCUCCAAGAAGGUGUCUGAAGACGAGGAGCAGGCCCUGAAGGUGAGAUUCCAAGAGUGGAUGAACAAGUUCAACCGUAAUUACAAAGACGAGGCAGAGAAGGCUUAUCGCUUUGAGGUAUUCAAGUCUACUGUCCAGUAUGUCGAAAAGUUCAAUGCUGAACAGGUGAAAAAAUAUGGUUGCUGCAAAUGCACACUAGGUACAAACAAAUUUGCGGAUCUCACUGUGGAGGAAGUCUCGAACAAGUUUUGUGGCAAAAGAAGCAGGCAGUGUUAGCUCGGUAUAUUACUAUUAUAGCCAACUAGUCUGCAACUACGUAAAAAAACAGCAACUAUAUUUAUUAUUAUUAUUAUAGCCAACUAGUGUGCAACUAUGAAAAAUAACAACAGCAACUAGUGUGCUUUCUGGUUAGAAACCCGUAGAGAUAUAAGUGUAAGUGGUUCGUUGAACCAGUGGUGCCUUUUGAUUAUAUAUGUAUCGUUUAUAUGUAAUAAUAAGUUUAUGUUAUACUACU